ACACCAAAAUGUGACAUCCAAACACAACGCGAGCCAAAUUCAAUAAAAUUCCAGCAAAAUGAAUCAAAAUCCGUUCCCGCCGCUCAAACUGCAAUAACAGUGCUAACUGCCUAACUCCUCAGAACUCAAAAGCUUGAGGCCCAAAACUUGUUACGAAGAUGUAUAAGCAUGAACGCACCGAACCCUGUAUCAACUGCGAUGAAGGCCCGGAUCGGGCAUUGCCUUACGGAAUCCAAGUAUCAUAAGUUCCAGAGACUCGUCAAGAGAUGUCUGCGCCUACGAAGGAGGAACGCUGGCUUUGAAAUAGACACUGAAUUGUGUACUGCCUUGGUCGCGUGGACAGGAGCCCUGGUUGUCACCGCGGUAAUUGUUAGGUCUCUGUACUUGAUGUACAUGAAGCCGGACUACUAAUGCGAAUUUUCUUUUGGCUCUUAAAAUAUGAGCAGUUACAUGAGAAACAAUAUAAUACUAAAUGUUCAGCCUCAGAACCAAGCCAACGCGACUGUAUCGGAUCAAGAAGUCGAUCUACCUGAGGACUUUGAGGCAUAGAGGAGGCAUCUACUACUCGUACAACUCUGCUUUAGGCAGCGUCGUGAUAUGGACAGGAUUUCUAUGCGUUCUGGCCAUCAUUCUGCGCUCCCUCUACCUCAAGUACAAAGUGCACUGCCCCUCCCAGGAGUCUCUCCCUGUAAUGCCAAGACGUAGACGUGUCAGAUAUCAGUGAACUAUUAUACAGUUUGGAUUUCGCG
rnacentral:lncRNA from 1 species